UACAGAGGUCUCAAGCGUUUGUUCGGAUUCAUUGGGCGUAAAGGGUGCGUAGGUGGCGCGCUAAGUCAGGUGUGAAAUUUCGGAGCUUAACUCCGAAACUGCAUUUGAUACUGGCGUGCUUGAGGACUGGAGAGGAGACUGGAAUUCACGGUGUAGCAGUGAAAUGCGUAGAUAUCGUGAGGAAGACCAGUGGCGAAGGCGGGUCUCUGGACAGUUCCUCGACA
rnacentral:rRNA from 1 species